rnacentral:rRNA from 1 species
UACAGAGGGUGCGAGCGUUAAUCGGAAUUACUGGGCGUAAAGGGCGCGUAGGCGGUUAUUUAAGUUGGAUGUGAAAUCCCUGGGCUUAACCUAGGAACUGCAUUCAAUACUGGAUAACUGGAGUGCAGUAGAGGGUAGUGGAAUUUCCGGUGUAGCGGUGAAAUGCGUAGAUAUCGGAAGGAACACCAGUGGCGAAGGCGGCUACCUGGACUGACACUGACGCUGAGGCGCGAGAGCGUGGGGAGCAAACAGG